GCGGAGGAAAAGAAACUAACAAGGAUUCCCCUAGUAACUGCGAGUGAAGCGGGAAAAGCUCAAAUUUAAAAUCUGGUGGUCUUGGCCUCC
rnacentral:rRNA from 1 species